rnacentral:rRNA from 1 species
UUAGAGUUUGAUCCUGGCUCAGAACGUACGCUGGCGGCACGCCCUAACACAUGCAAGUCGAACGCAGUAGCAAUACUGAGUGGCAGACGGGUGAGUAACAUGUGGGAAUCUGCCUUGUGGUUCAGGACAACAUUGGGAAACCGAUGCUAAUACUGGAUAAGCCCUUACGGGGAAAGUUUUAAUGCCAUAAGAUGAGCCCGCAUUUGAUUAGUUAGUUGGUGAGGUAAUGGCUCACCAAGACAAUGAUCAAUAGCUGAUCUGAGAGGAUGAUCAGCCACACUGGGACUGAGACACGGCCCAGACUCCUACGGGAGGCAGCAGUGGGGAAUCUUGCACAAUGGAGGAAACUCUGAUGCAGCGAUGCCGCGUGAGUGAAGAAGGCCUUUGGGUUGUAAAGCUCUUUUGUAGGGGAAGAUAAUGACUGUACCCUAAGAAUAAGGUCCGGCUAACUUCGUGCCAGCAGCCGCGGUAAUACGAAGGGACCUAGCGUAGUUCGGAAUUACUGGGCGUAAAGCGCGCGUAGGCCGUUGAGUUAGUUAAUUGUGAAAUCCCAAAGCUUAACUUUGGAACUGCAAUUAAAACUGCUCGACUAGAGUUUGAUAGAGGAAAGCGGAAUACAUAGUGUAGAGGUGAAAUUCGUAGAUAUUAUGUAGAACACCAGUUGCGAAGGCGGCUUUCUGGAUCAACACUGACGCUGAGGCGCGAAAGUAUGGGUAGCAAAGAGGAUUAGAUACCCUCGUAGUCCAUACCAUAAACGAUGAUUGCUAGAUGUUGGAAAUUUAUUUUCAGUAUCGCAGCUAACGCAUAAGCAAUCCGCCCU